CAGCAGCCACGGGAACACGGAGGGUGCAAGCGUUAAUCGGAAUUACUGGGCGUAAAGCGCACGCAGGCGGUCUGACAAGUCAGAUGUGAAAUCCCCGGGCUUAACCUGGGAACUGCAUUUGAAACUGUCAGGCUGGAGUCUUGUAGAGGGGGGUGGAAUUCCAGGUGUAGCGGUGAAAUGCGUAGAGAUCUGGAGGAAUACCGGUGGCGAAGGCGGCCCCCUGGACAAAGACUGACGCUCAGGUGCGAAAGCGUGGGGAGCAAACAGGAUUAGAUACCCCGGUAGUCCCUGUCUCUUAUAC
rnacentral:rRNA from 1 species